UGGUGUUUUUCAGCGUGCUGGUGACCAUCGUCGCCU
rnacentral:tRNA from 1 species